UCGUCUCCCUUCUUGCGCCGCCGAUCACCACGAGUUCACUGCUGGCGACGGUCUUCUCCAGUGUGUCUCGGCCGAGCCUCCCUCUUCCUUCUCUCAAGGUGUGGAGCCUCUCCUUCUUCUUGCCGAUCUUGUCACCGUGCCCUAGAUUGCUGACACCGAGUCUUUCUCGCCGAGCCUCCCGACCACACCACUCCACACGAUGUAGCCGGAUCACGCGCGCGAGCUCUCUUCGUCCCGAGACUCACCAGCGACUCAACUCCUUCCCUUCCAACCAACCGCCGCCGUCCCUUUCCUGUACCUGAUCGCCGACCUCUCUGCUUCUAAUCACCAACCUAGCUUCAAGAUUGAUGUUGGGUUUGAUCCUUGGUCUGUUGUGAAGUGUCCGGCCAAGCUGCAUUGAUCCGGCAAUGUGACCGAAAGAUGGUUUGCUGUGGCGGUUCUUGUGGGGUGGAGGGUUGCUGCUAGGGUCCGGUGAGGCCAUCAACUCCGGCAGUAAUCUUCUCCAGCAGUAAAACACCAGUUGGGGCAUCUGGAUUGAGCUAAGGUUUUGUUGAGUGUAGUGCUUCUUUGAUAGUUGACGGCAUAGAACUUCUUGGGUUGUAAGAUUCAGAAUUUUGCUGUCAUACCUCAAGGACUUUGAUAUGGGAUGAUCAUCACGACGUGGGAUUUAUUCUGGACACGGUCGACAAAUUAAG